rnacentral:rRNA from 1 species
GAUGAACGCUGGCGGCGUGCUUAACACAUGCAAGUCGAACGAAGCUGCUUAACUGAUCUUCUUCGGAAUUGACGUUUUGUAGACUGAGUGGCGGACGGGUGAGUAACGCGUGGGUAACCUGCCCUGUACAGGGGGAUAACAGUCAGAAAUGACUGCUAAUACCGCAUAAGACCACAGCACCGCAUGGUGCAGGGGUAAAAACUCCGGUGGUACAGGAUGGACCCGCGUCUGAUUAGCUGGUUGGUGAGGUAACGGCUCACCAAGGCGACGAUCAGUAGCCGGCUUGAGAGAGUGAACGGCCACAUUGGGACUGAGACACGGCCCAAACUCCUACGGGAGGCAGCAGUGGGGAAUAUUGCACAAUGGGGGGAACCCUGAUGCAGCGACGCCGCGUGAGUGAAGAAGUAUCUCGGUAUGUAAAGCUCUAUCAGCAGGGAAGAAAAUGACGGUACCUGACUAAGAAGCCCCGGCUAACUACGUGCCAGCAGCCGCGGUAAUACGUAGGGGGCAAGCGUUAUCCGGAAUUACUGGGUGUAAAGGGUGCGUAGGUGGUAUGGCAAGUCAGAAGUGAAAACCCAGGGCUUAACUCUGGGACUGCUUUUGAAACUGUCAGACUGGAGUGCAGGAGAGGUAAGCGGAAUUCCUAGUGUAGCGGUGAAAUGCGUAGAUAUUAGGAGGAACAUCAGUGGCGAAGGCGGCUUACUGGACUGAAAC